AGUAACGGCGAGUGAAGCGGCAAUAGCUCAAAUUUGAAAGCUGGCGUCUUCGACGUCCGCGUUGUAAUUUGUAGAGGAUGCUUCGGCGAAGACUCCUGCCUAAGUCCCCUGGAACGGGGCGUCAUAGAGGGUGAGAAUCCCGUAUGUGGCGGGCAGUCUAAGCCAUGUGAAGCUCCUUCGACGAGUCGAGUUGUUUGGGAAUGCAGCUCUAAAUGGGAGGUAAAUUUCUUCUAAAGCUAAAUAUUGGCCAGAGACCGAUAGCGCACAAGUAGAGUGAUCGAAAGAUGAAAAGCACUUUGGAAAGAGAGUUAAAAAGUACGUGAAAUUGUUGAAAGGGAAGCGCUUGCAACCAGACUCGCUCGUAGUUGCUCAGCCGGCCUCUUGGCCGGUGUACUCUUCUACGAUCGGGCCAGCAUCAGUUCGGGCGGCAGGAUAAAGGUGUCGGGAAUGUAGCACCCUUCGGGGUGUGUUAUAGCCCGGCGCGGAAUGCUGCCAGCCUGGACUGAGGAUCUCGCUUCGGCAAGGAUGCUGGCGUAAUGGUUGUAAGCGGCCCGUCUUGAAACACGGACCAAGGAGUCUAACAUCUAUGCGAGUGUUUGGGUGUCAAACCCAUGCGCGUAAUGAAAGUGAACGGAGGUGGGAACCCCUCACGGGGUGCACCAUCGACCGAUCCUGAUGUCUUCGGAUGGAUUUGAGUAAGAGCAUAGCUGUUGGGACCCGAAAGAUGGUGAACUAUGCCUGAAUAGGGUGAAGCCAGAGGAAACUCUGGUGGAGGCUCGCAGCGGUUCUGACGUGCAAAUCGAUCGUCAAAUUUGGGUAU
rnacentral:rRNA from 1 species